AUUUUAUCUAGAUGUUCAAUGGAUCUAUAAAUCUCCCCCUGGGAUUCAUCAUAGUAACUGUAACGGAACCUUUGACCUUGAAACAAAUAUCCCCAAUGGCAGAAAUCAGAAGAAACCACAAAGAGAUUACUAGGAUCCGCUAGAUAUUUACUGAAGAGUUUUCCGAAUUCCUGUUCUUUUGACUCACUCAGAGCUCCAACCAGUACAGGAAUAAUGGUAAACUCAUCC
rnacentral:lncRNA from 1 species